CCUCAAGUGAUCUGCCCGCCUCGGCCUCCCAAAGUGCUAGCAUUACAGGCGUGAGCCACCGCGCCUGGCCGUAUUUAUUAAAUGUGUGUUGAACUUACGUACCCGAGCACAGGCUAGACACUAGGGAGGGGAACGGGCGGUGAUUAGAAAUGAACAAGAUCCUGCCAAGAGGAAUUCACAGUCUAGCGCGCGAGGCAGACCAGAAUGGCUGAGGCAAGAAACCUGUGCCAGGGCCUGGAGUAGGCUCAGAGGCUGUUGGUGAGGCAAAAAGCAUGUUGGCUUUGGAGCCCAGCUCAUCUGGUUUCAAAUCCUAGUUCUGUCAUUUACCAGCUACGUGACAUUGGGCACGUGACUCAAUCUCCCUGAGCCUCAGUUUCCUCGUCUAUAGAAUACAGGCAUUAAUACCUACAUUUCAGGGUUAUUGUAAAACUUAAUUGAGGUGAGAAAAAUGUAUGUAGGUGUCUGGCAUAUGGUACUUAAUAAAUGGUAAAUUUUAAAAUGUCUUUGCUUAUUUUGGUAGUCUGAUAGCUUCUAAAGAUAUGUCCAUGUUCUAAUCCCCAGAACCUGUGAAUGUUACCUUAACUGGAAAAUGGGUUCAUCUUUGAGGAUGUGAUUAAGAAUCUUGAGAUGGGGAGAUUAUUCUGGAUUAUCCAGGUGGGCCCUAAAUGCCAACACAAGUGUCCUUAUGAAAGAGAGAGAGAGAGAGAAAUUAUACAUAUAUCAAAGAGUAGAAGGUGAUGUGAAGACAGAGGCAGAAACUGCAGUGAUGGGGCCACAAGCAAAGGAAUGCUAGUAGCCACUAGAAGCUGAAAGAGACAAGGAACAGAUUCUCCUCUAGAGCCUCCAGAAAGAGCAUACCCCUGCCAACACUUUGAUUUUGGUAUAAUAAAAUGGAUGUUGAACCUCUGAUCUCCAGAAGUGUAAGAGAAUAAACUUCAGUUGUUUUAAGACA
rnacentral:lncRNA from 1 species